UACGGGGGGUGCGAGCGUUGUCCGGAAUCACUGGGCGUAAAGGGCGCGUAGGUGGUCUUAUAAGGGUGUGGUGAAAGCCCGGGGCUCAACCCCGGGUCGGCCGUGCCGACUGUAAGACUAGAGUGUGGUAGGGGAGAUCGGAAUUCCUGGUGUAGCGGUGGAAUGCGCAGAUAUCAGGAGGAACACCGGUGGCGAAGGCGGAUCUCUGGGCCAUAACUGACGCUGAGGAGCGAAAGCAUGGGGAGCGAACAGG
rnacentral:rRNA from 1 species